CUGAGACUAACCAUCGCAGGAGAGAACCAGGAAGAAGCAAAAGGACAUGGGCCCCAAGAGCCCUUGUGUGGUUCUGGGGUGCCCAGUUCUCUGUGCCUCUCUGCUUGAGCCAGACAAGGAAAUGUGAUGUUUUCAUUUGUAGGAAAACCCAUCCAAGGGCCAAGAGUGGCAGUCAGGGCCUUUCAGAGCUCUUCUGCCCUCUGUAGCCAGAGGAAAGGAAAUUCAGACUUCCAGGAAAACCAAGGCUUAAAGAAAACCAGAAACCAGACAACGUGAUUCAACCAUCUAGGGGUGGAGUUGGUGAGCUGAGGCUGUUGGAUUUCUACUUGACUCUGUUCUUUCUGUUCUUCCCUAACUAACCAACUCAGGGAAGGAAGGGAGCAGGGGAAGCCAAGAGAAGAUUGGUGGCUCCUAAGGAAGUUCAAGCUGGUUUCCGGCAGGGCCAUGGCUAUAAAAAGGUGGACUGUGCAGAAACUUCUAGAAUCAUGUGAGUUCUGAGACCCAGGCAGCAGGAUUCCACAUUGAGCCCUCUCUUCAUCAGCCCUAACCAAUAAGAAUUACAAAAGGAAUCUGAGAAGGAAGAACCCUGGAUUGAUUCUAGCUUAAUGAGCCUCCUCUAAUGGCCACUCUCAUGUUUGGACCAUGCAUGGAAUUAGACAGUUGCAGAGCACUUAGAAAAAAAAUGUGGAUGAUCUUAGGACCUGAAAGCAGUUUUUCAUCCCUCACUCCCUUAGCUUAGGACUGACAGGCAGGGGGUGCACAUACACUUUAGGGCUCAGGGGUCUUCUUGCUUCCCCGAGGCUUGCUUUUCACUCCCCUGAAAGUCCAAGUGACUCACAUCUUUGGGCUCUCAGAUCAUCUCCUGUAGCUCAGAUGACAGACUUGAAUCAUCAGAGGGAAUUUGAGCAUCAUAGCACCAAAUUCUCAGUCCUCGGGUUGUUUUGAAGGCCAGAAGAAAGAUCCUGGUUAGAAAAGGCCCGCUUUUUUCAAAGCCUCCAAGGUCUGUCUAUGCCCCUACUCCUACUCUAUACCCUAGAGCAAGUGGCUGUAUCCUGUCUCUCUCCUCUGCCUCUCCUCAGCCUUUCUUGGUCUCUAUCUUGGCCAGCUGGCCUCAACACCCCUUAGGAUUCUGGGAAAAUCAGAGAGGAAUGGAACAAUGGCCUAAAAUUAGAACCCACAACAGAAGCAUAGAGGGCUGAGUCAUGCAUUGUUCUGCUACUCACCAGGCUGCUAGUAACCACAGUAAUCACACUAGUUCUGGCCCCAAGGAGUGAUUACAUCAGGGUUACAGCCAGAUGGGUCUCAAGGCAGAAGGGCUGUGGAAUGGUAGCCUCCAGGGUUUGGGCUUCUGGGUUUUGAACAUGGUGCCAAGACAUCAAGGCCAGAAGCUCAACCAGGCACUCUUCCACCAUCAAUCUUCUCCCUGCCUAUGACUGACAGCUUUCCCUCAACAUGUCCACAGUGUGGAGUGUGGGUGUGCAAAAAUACAGCUUCAUGGGAAACAAUGCUGUCUUGGAGGACAACAGCCAUGGUCACUGCUGCCUCAGAAAUUGAUGAGCAGUUGGUCUUUCACCCAGGAGUCACAUAAGUGCCUCUUUCCAGAAGACAACUAAUUCUCACAUGAACCCCUGGGAAGUAGGGGACAUGCUGUUGCCUCAGGGUGAGGCUCCCUCAGAGACAAAUUCCACCCAGACCUCCCAUCUGCUGCUUGCUGCCUGAAGACUUCAUCUGAAGGAAAGCCGCUGGAUUGCUGAGGAGUUCGGUGCCCCACACCUGCAAGUAGGCCAUCUCAUGGUUCGAUGGCCUGGGGAUGGCCUGGGAAAGAAGGCAGCUGGCUUCCUUUGUGACCACUGAGCUUUGCAGGGGUGGGACAGGAGAGACAGCUGCCACCAGUUAUCUUCAUAUAGCUCAAGGUUCCCAAAGUCAGCACUUCCAGAAUCCACGAUCCAAGCAGCUGCUUCACUGCUAACUGCUAACUUCCCAUUUUCAGAGAGUCUGCGGGCAUAGGCCUAGAGAAUUCCUGUGCUAUGCCUUUCUGAGUGGCUGAGACCCACACUUGAACAGCCUGUGAUGGGGACGGUGGAUGUUGACCAGAAGGUUCCAUGGGACUUGGAGAAUGUGAUAGUUAAUAUUGUCAAUUUGACAAAACUUAAAAUUAUCUGUGAGGGAUUUUUAGAUAGGUCACCUGAGGAGAGAAGACCAUUCUCAAUGUGGGCAGUACCGCUCCAUGGGCCGGGGUCCUGGACAAAUUGCAAAGGAGCAAGUGAGCUGAGCAUUAGCUUUCAACUGUUUCUUGAUUACAGACACAAGGUGGUCAGCCACCUCGGGCUCAGACUGCCAUGACUUCCCCUCUAUAAUGGGCUGAGCCUCCAGUCAUGAAGUGAAAUAAAGCCUGCCUGCCUGCCUGCCU
ensembl:lncRNA